UUGAAUUUGGGUUUCCAUAUUCUUACAACCUGUGCACUUUUGUAGGCCAUUCAUUUGGUCUAUGUUUUUCUUAAACAACUCAUGAAUGUAAAUGAAUGAAUGAAUGAAUAAUUA
rnacentral:misc_RNA from 1 species